CUUUCCUUUCAGGUUUGGUUUCAAAACUGCAGAGCCCGCCAUAAAAAACACACGCCCCAGCACACGGUGCCGCCCUCGGGGGCCCCCCCGUCCCGCAUCCCCUCCUCGCUCCCCGAGGACAUCCACUACUCGCCCUUCAGCAGCCCGGAGCGGGCCCGGAUGGUGACGCUGCACGGAUACAUAGAGAGUGAGUGCGGGGCCGGGGAGGGGCUGAACAGUUUGGUCCCAUGAAGGUCCCUGCCUUGGCUUGGCUUUAGGGCCCUCAGCCUUCCUUGGGUUCCCUUUGUCGUGGAGAGCAGCGUGUGUGCGUCCUGUGGAACUGGUGUGCCCCUGUGCAAGGUCAGAGGAGCUUUUCCUACUAACUGCUGGUUGCUGAUGGACUGUUUGUGAGUAGGGCAGUGUUGUUGGGGUGGGAAGGGUCACCAGGAUGGAGUCUCUGGGCUCUGUGCAACCCGUGAGGUUUCUCCCCACCCCCACCUGCACCAGAAGUGGCUCCUCGGUGCGUGUCCCCGGGUGCUCCCUGCCAGGAGCCCGGCCGUGCCGCUCGCAGGGCUUGUGUUGUUGGCAGUAACAGGGCUGAAGCCUCUUCUCAUCCACAGGUCAGGUACAGUGUGGACAAGUGCACUGUAGACUUCCCUACACUGCUCCACCAGUGCACCUCAAAGCAGACAUGGAAGGACCACUAUCUAAUAGGGGUGAGAAGGUCAUCCUCUUUCAGUACUGACUGCGCGAGCUCUUCCUCAUCUGCCCACGGCGCUACCAGCACCACUGCCCCUCAGUCGCUGAAACAGCGUCCAGCCCGAGGCAACUGUUCUCAGUCAUGCAGGAGAAACUCAGAUCCAGCACUCUCAGUUGUUCCCAUUGACCAGCAUCUAACAUCCACUAUUAUUUCUCCAGCAACACUCUGUGUAUGUGUGUGUCGAGUGCAGAGUUGCAUUUUUCACUUGUUUCUUGUGGACUUGUAGAAUGACAGUGAGUCUCUCCAAGGCAAUGCCAGACACAGCCAAAAUUAGUGACUCUGCUGUGCUUACAAAUCCUGCUCCCCAGUCACGGGAAUAUGAACAGAUCAGUUCACGCUGAGUCACAGGGGGUUCGAUGAUCACCUAUGAAUAUAGAGAAAGGAGGAAUUUACGUGGUUUGGCCUGAUUCUCUUUUUGCACCAGUGAAGCAGUGUUGGUUCCCGGACGUCCCUCCUUAUUUACACUUGCAUGUGUGAAAUCCGAAAUGGGCUCUUUGGCUCAGCAACUCAAUAUACACACAGGACUCCUGAGCCAAAGCCGCAGGUAGCUGCGGCUCCACUAAGUGGAAAACAUGAUGCCAGCUGGAAAUAGGCAGUUUUCCUUCCUCCUCAAAGUGCUUUAGAAUCACAUGUCCUUUGAUCACUCUGUAAG
rnacentral:lncRNA from 1 species